AACAGUGAAGAUGAAAAUCGCACUUUACAAGAGUGGUUUAAACUUGUGGUAGAGAAGAACAAGGUAGAUCGUUAUGUGUCUGAACUGUUGAUCUGUGCUCAGGAGCUGGAACUUGAAGAUCAGCAAAGAAGACUGCAGCAAGAGUGGAGAGAGAAAAUAAUUAUUGAUGAUUCAGAGAAAACUCAAGACGAACUGAAUGAGGAAAAAGAACGUCUUAUAAAGAUACUACAGAUUGUGGAAAAGCGAGACAAAUUGGUCUCCGUACUUGAACAGCAGAGACUGAAGGAAAACCAGGAGGAUAGAGACUUCAAAGAGUUUGUCUUAUCUACAGGUUACCAGUUUAAGAAUAACUGAAUAUUUGUUUUGAAUUCAGAAUCAUACAACUUCAGACGAUACGGGGGUGUUAUAUGCCUCUCACACUUGUACUGUGGAAAACAAAUGUACUUUUUUAAGAGACCAUAAUGAAUUCCGAAAUUGUGCUCAAAACAAUGAUGUAAAUGAACUCUGAACUAAGCUGCUACUAAAUAACAUAUGCAAAAGAAACUUGUUCAUUUUUUAAGGAAAAAAUAUCCAAUCAUAGUUAUGAAAGGUAUUAAAUGCUGGACAGUUUAAACACUACUUGAAAUUUGUAGGCUAUGAAAUAUUUGUAGUUAUUCACAAAAAGGAAAUAAGGUACAGAAAGUAUGGUUAUAACUCAAUAGUGAAAAUGUGGUUGUAUAGUUAAAUAACAUGGUAAUAUGGUGAAUAAAUAGUUGUAUGCAUAUAUA